UCUUUCCUGCUCGGUGCGUGAUGGGCUCUUUUAAACCCACAUUUUUUAAACGGGACGCCCCCUCACACCGUGGGUCGCAGGCCUCCCGGUCCCCCUUUGAGGUGGAUUGGAAGUUGGAAGCGGCAAAGCGGUGUGGAGGCGACCCACCUGCCAUUCGUGCAGGUUUUAAACGGGCUCACACGGCCAGAGCGGGGUAUAU
rnacentral:other from 2 species